AUGGCAAUAUGGAGGCAUUGUGAGUGUAGCUACUGUGUCACAUGUGUGCCAGUAAGUGGCAGAAGAAGAGAGGCUAUGUCUACCCUCAGUGUUCUGAUCUCUGAAUUUGAAUUAGUACCCUAACACU